UGGGGAAUCAUGGUCAAUGGGCGAAAGCCUGAACCUGCGACGCCGCGUGAGUGAUGAAGGUCGUAAGAUCGUAAAACUCUUUUCAGGGAUCUUAAAGCCUGUCUGUCAACAACAGGCAGGUCUGACUCUCCCUGGAAGAAGCCCCAGCCAACUACGUGCCAGCAGCGGCGGUAAUACGUAGGGGGCGAGCGUUAUGCGGAAUUACUGGGUGUAAAGGGUAUGUAGGCGGCCCUUCAAGUCGCGUGUCAAAGUCCAGUGCUCAACGCUGGGUGUGCGCGCGAUACUGACGGGCUUGAGGGCUGGAGAGGUGAGCGGAAUUCCCGGUGUAGUGGUAAAAUACGUAGAGAUCGGGAGGAACACCAGCGGCGCAGGCGGCUCACUAGACAGUUUCUGACGCUAAGAUACGAAAGCGUGGGGAGCAAACA
rnacentral:rRNA from 1 species